GGAAUAUUGGACAAUGGGUGAAAGCCUGAUCCAGCCAUCCCGCGUGAAGGAUGACGGUCCUAUGGAUUGUAAACUUCUUUUGUACAGGGAUAAACCUACUCUCGUGAGGGUAGCUGAAGGUACUGUACGAAUAAGCACCGGCUAACUCCGUGCCAGCAGCCGCGGUAAUACGGAGGGUGCAAGCGUUAUCCGGAUUUAUUGGGUUUAAAGGGUCCGUAGGCGGGCCCGUAAGUCAGUGGUGAAAUCUCAUAGCUUAACUAUGAAACUGCCAUUGAUACUGCGGGUCUUGAGUAAAUUUGAAGUGGCUGGAAUAAGUAGUGUAGCGGUGAAAUGCAUAGAUAUUACUUAGAACACCAAUUGCGAAGGCAGGUCACUAAGAUUUAACUGACGCUGAUGGACGAAAGCGUGGGUAGCGAACA
rnacentral:rRNA from 1 species